UUUGGGGACUUCUGAAUUUUAAUACCAUUCACAUGUUCAACAGUAUUUACAUGUUAGUGGAUGUACACAUUAUCCUGUAAAGGUACAGUACUAGAUAAUCCUUUACACCUUGUGAUCCUAGGUGACAGCCCUCCUGACAUCACACGUGACCCCAGUAUUUCCGGUCACGUGGUCAUACGCGGUGCUGUCAACUAACAUCAGAAAGCGUACAGAAGCACAGCUAUGAGCUUUUGAAGUUCAUGAAGCCUGCAUAAUAGGUAUUGUUUAAACUGCAGUCUUAUUGCUGAGUGUAUGACACCGCAGUUACCAAUAUUCCAAAGAUAUCCGAGCGGCUAGUCUGUCAUACAGA